ensembl:lncRNA
GGGUCAUAUCCGCUGCCUGCACAUCUUCCUCCUCCUGCUCUCCCUUAUUUUGUUUUGCACACCUGUUGCCCGUUUGACGAGCGUUAUUGGCCUCAGCUGUGCGAGUGAUUAAAGCGUACAACACGUAUUCUCCCGCAAGUCACUCAAAGAGAAGACAGGUAAAGUCAGAGGAAAAAAAAGUUGUUGUGAAGAAAGACAACCGCCUUGAGAAGGGUUCCCCUCUACAGAUGGCUGUCCUGGAAUCCUGCUGAGACGCUGACACAUCUAGACAUGAAAGAAGUGGGUCUGGGAUGACUUCACAAACUUUGUGGAGCUCCAGCAGUGGCUAGCUCCCUGGGGCACCAAAAACGGAUCGCGCCUCACACAAGCCGGAUCGCGUGAGGCCAGCGAGACGCUUGGCCUUGGUACACAGGCGCUGAGGCCUUCAGGGCUGAAACGCCAAGCAACAGACAACGAUGUCCUCUAUCGUUCGCUCUUCUCAAAGCCGAUUGGAGUACUCUGGGGGGCAUAGAAGGGAGUAUAUCAUCCGUAUCCAUCUGGAGACAGCUUUUUGUCAGCCAAACCUCCAGACAUGAACUGGCAGAGCUCUGAGGGUUGGGUGACGAUUGGAUGGCGAGCAAUGAAGUUUAGGAAAAUUUGCAUCACUGUGCAGUGUUUGACUUUGAAAAGGCUGGGAAGGGGGGGUUAAAUCACUCUUUAAAGAGUACUCCACUACACCCCAUAGUUUCACUAGUGCUAACUGCUGCAACUAACAAAUAUUAUACAUUAGCAUUUAGAAGUUAACAUUCAAUCUGUGUGUUGAUUUUGUGUCCAAGUCAGGCCAUUAUCUCACAUUUAGUGAUAAUACCGAUUUGCCUUCUAACUUUGUUAUUCUAAUCACCACAUUGAAUAGGGGAAUUAUAGUAAGUGGUUAAAGCAACAUCGAUGUCUGCUCUACGAUUUAUAUUUACCAACAUAGAUGUAAAUUAUGAUGAACUAAACUAAAGAUAUUGAAAAAAUUAUGUCAGACUACUUUAUUCAUAGCUAAUGCUAUAGUUGUGCAAUCUGCUGCUUAGAAUGUUUUUGUGAUUUAAGAUAUGAAUGUAAAAGAAAAUGUAAUUCCAAUUAUUCUUAUUAUUAUGAAUUAUAUUAUACCAUUAAAUAACAGUCAGACAACUAUUGCUAAAAGAAAAGUCCAAAUAAUUUAUUAAAAAAUAUUUUAAACCAUGUCCUUUUUUUCUGGAAAGGUUGUCAUUUGGUUUUUAUAUUUCCUCAUAGCUAAUAUGCAAUGAUAGCUUUCUCUAUUUUAUACUCUCUGGCUUUUUGUCCCUCCCAUCUAUUUUGUUUAUCUAUUGUCAGACUCUCUGUAUGUUUGCAUGCCUGGCUGAUGUAUCUAUCUGGAAAUUGUUUAUAAAACUGAAAGAAAUGCAGCAGUCCUCUGGUCUUUUGUUCCUUUGCAUGCUGCUUUGAGAGCUCAAAGGGGAAAGCAAAACCAGUGUGCUUUGUUAACAAUUUUCUGAU